GACGAACGCUGGCGGCGUGCCUAAUACAUGCAAGUCGAGCGGUUUUCACCUUCGGGUGAGAGUAGCGGCGGACGGGUGAGUAACACGUAGGUAACCUGCCUAACAGACUGGGAUAACUACCGGAAACGGUAGCUAAGACCGGAUACGAUCCUUUGGGGGCAUCCUUGAAUGAUGAAAAGCGGAGCAAUCUGCUACUGAUAGAUGGACCUGCGGCGCAUUAGCUAGUUGGUGAGGUAGUGGCUCACCAAGGCGACGAUGCGUAGCCGACCUGAGAGGGUGAACGGCCACACUGGGACUGAGACACGGCCCAGACUCCUACGGGAGGCAGCAGUAGGGAAUCUUCGGCAAUGGACGAAAGUCUGACCGAGCAACGCCGCGUGAGUGAUGAAGGUUUUCGGA
rnacentral:rRNA from 1 species